CGGAAACAACAGAUGCAAUGCAAAGUCAGCUAAAGGCAGAACAGUUUCAAAAGGAAAAAUACUCCUCUCUUCAGUGGCAGAGGGACUGGAGUAUUGCUUAUUCACUUUUCUCUUGGAUUCAACUAACAAUGUCCAGUUUUUAUCCACAUUUCCAGAAUGCCAGACUGCGUAUUAGAGCUGAUCUUCAUCUCUGCUCGGAAAAGCUUCACGGGCCAAAGGAGAAUGGAGAUGAGGAAGGCAAUGGAGAAUGAUGAGGACUAUUUGCAGUCAGCACCCCAACUUCUGCCUUGGCUCUUCCCAUCAAGCCAGAGCAGUUUCUUGGCCUGCGCAACCUGCAGACUGACCUCUUGUGUGUAUCCGUGCUGGACUGAGGGUAUCAAGAGAAGAAGGCAUUUGCUUCAGAGGACAGUACUUUGAUGCUUUCCAGGGCCAAUGGCCAAAAUUUUCAAAGCACUUUUUUUUUUUUUUUUUUUCCCAUCAGUGAUUUAUACAUUUGUCAAUCUUUCCAUCUUCAUUUACAACUGCGAAUUUAGGUUUUAGGCGAACAAGAACCCUGAAACCAGCUGAAGCCAUAUCAGACAUGAAGCCAUAUUAGACAUAGUAAGGACAUGUGUCUGUGAGGAAGUAAUUCAGAGUGACUCUCUGGUGUCCUUUGGACAGCUUUCCUCUGGUCCUCUGCACUAGGCAUCCCCAAGGGAUAUUUCAAAGCUCUCGGCAUGAUCUGUCAUUCUCUCUUCCACUGGAGUCUCCAUUAGAAAAGCGUGACUAUUCCUUGCCCAUGUGGAAAAGAAGUCCUCCUUGAGUUGUUUCUAACCAAAACCUCUUUCUUGUGUUCUCUUGACAGAAACCACUUGGCUAGACAAACUCAAUCCUUGCAAAUGGAAGGAG
rnacentral:lncRNA from 1 species